rnacentral:tRNA from 1 species
GGGCCUGUAGCUCAGUUGGUCAGAGCGCACGCCUGAUAAGCGUGAGGUCGGUGGUUCGAGUCCACCCAGGCCCACCA